rnacentral:rRNA from 1 species
AUUGAACGCUGGCGGCAUGCCUUACACAUGCAAGUCGAACGGUAACGGGCCUUCGGGUGCCGACGAGUGGCGAACGGGUGAGUAAUACAUCGGAACGUGCCCGAUCGUGGGGGAUAACGAGGCGAAAGCUUUGCUAAUACCGCAUACGAUCUACGGAUGAAAGCAGGGGACCGCAAGGCCUUGCGCGGACGGAGCGGCCGAUGGCAGAUUAGGUAGUUGGUGGGAUAAAAGCUUACCAAGCCGACGAUCUGUAGCUGGUCUGAGAGGAUGAUCAGCCACACUGGGACGGAGACACGGCCCAGACGCCUACGGGAGGCAGCAGUGGGGAAUGUUGGACAAUGGGCGCAAGCCUGAUCCAGCCAUGCCGCGUGCAGGAUGAAGGCCUUCGGGUUGUAAACUGCUUUUGUACGGAACGAAAAGCCUUCUUUUAAUACAGGAGGGUCAUGACGGUACCGGAAGAAUAAGCACCGGCUAACUACGUG